CCGGGACCUACUAGUCGAAUACCUGCUUAGUUAGAGGGACAUUACCGAGUUUACAACUCCCAAACCCCUGUGAACAUACCAAUUGUUGCCUCGGCGGAUCAGCCCGCUCCCGGUAAAACGGGACGGCCCGCCAGAGGACCCCUAAACUCUGUUUCUAUAUGUAACUUCUGAGUAAAACCAUAAAUAAAUCAAAACUUUCAACAACGGAUCUCUUGGUUCUGGCAUCGAUGAAGAACGCAGCAAAAUGCGAUAAGUAAUGUGAAUUGCAGAAUUCAGUGAAUCAUCGAAUCUUUGAACGCACAUUGCGCCCGCCAGUAUUCUGGCGGGCAUGCCUGUUCGAGCGUCAUUUCAACCCUCAAGCCCCCGGGUUUGGUGUUGGGGAUCGGCGAGCCCUUGCGGCAAGCCGGCCCCGAAAUCUAGUGGCGGUCUCGCUGCAGCUUCCAUUGCGUAGUAGUAAAACCCUCGCAACUGGUACGCGGCGCGGCCAAGCCGUUAAACCCCCAACUUCUGAAUGUUGACCUCGGAUCAGGUAGGAAUACCCGCUGAACUUAA
rnacentral:rRNA from 1 species